UACAGAGGUCUCAAGCGUUGUUCGGAUUCAUUGGGCGUAAAGGGUGCGUAGGCGGCGCGGUAAGUCGGGUGUGAAAUCUCGGAGCUUAACUCCGAAACUGCAUUCGAUACUGCCGUGCUUGAGGACUGGAGAGGAGACUGGAAUUCACGGUGUAGCAGUGAAAUGCGUAGAUAUCGUGAGGAAGACCAGUGGCGAAGGCGGGUCUCUGGACAGUUCCUGACACUGAGACACGAAGGCCAGGGGAGCAAACGGG
rnacentral:rRNA from 1 species